UAAAGGGGUUAGUGGCGACGGGUGAGUAACACGUGGGCAAUCUGCCCUGCACUCUGGGACAAGCCCUGGAAACGGGGUCUAAUACCGGAUACGACCAUCUUGGGCAUCCUUGGUGGUGGAAAGCUCCGGCGGUGCAGGAUGAGCCCGCGGCCUAUCAGCUUGUUGGUGAGGUAACGGCUCACCAAGGCGACGACGGGUAGCCGGCCUGAGAGGGCGACCGGCCACACUGGGACUGAGACACGGCCCAGACUCCUACGGGAGGCAGCAGUGGGGAAUAUUGCACAAUGGGCGAAAGCCUGAUGCAGCGACGCCGCGUGAGGGAUGACGGCCUUCGGGUUGUAAACCUCUUUCAGCAGGGAAGAAGCGAGAGUGACGGUACCUGCAGAAGAAGCGCCGGCUAACUACGUGCCAGCAGCCGCGGUAAUACGUAGGGCGCGAGCGUUGUCCGGAAUUAUUGGGCGUAAAGAGCUCGUAGGCGGCUUGUCGCGUCGGUUGUGAAAGCCCGGGGCUUAACCCCGGGUCUGCAGUCGAUACGGGCAGGCUAGAGUUCGGUAGGGGAGAUCGGAAUUCCUGGUGUAGCGGUGAAAUGCGCAGAUAUCAGGAGGAACACCGGUGGCGAAGGCGGAUCUCUGGGCCGAUACUGACGCUGAGGAGCGAAAGCGUGGGGAGCGAACAGGAUUAGAUACCCUGGUAGUCCACGCCGUAAACGGUGGGCACUACGUGUGGGCGACAUUCCACGUCGUCGUGCCGCAGCUAACGCAUUAAGUGCCCCGCCUGGGGAGUACGCGCAGCUAAACUCAAGGAUUGACGGGGGCCCGCACAGCGGCGGAGCAUGGUGGCUUAA
rnacentral:rRNA from 1 species